UACGUAGGGUGCGAGCGUUAAUCGGAAUUACUGGGCGUAAAGCGUGCGCAGGCGGUUCGUCAAGUCUUGUGUGAAAGCCCCGGGCUCAACCUGGGAAUGGCAUGGGAAACUGGCGAGCUGGAGUGCGGCAGAGGGGGUGGAAUUCCGCGUGUAGCAGUGAAAUGCGUAGAGAUGCGGAGGAACACCGAUGGCGAAGGCAGCCCCCUGGGUCGACACUGACGCUCAGGCACGAAAGCGUGGGGAGCAAACAGG
rnacentral:rRNA from 1 species